GUCUGGAUGUUCACAUUUAUUUAUACAUAUACACAUCACCAUUUAUCACCAUAAAUUUGAACUUUAAUAUAUAACCAGAUUCCAACAGAACCAGAUUCUCUAAAUAACCCAAGGCAUGAAGACAUCAAGUCUUGUCUCCUCUUUUAAUGUCUUUCACUGUUUUAAUAUUAUUCAUGCAAUUCUUCCUUUUUCGCUGUCACCUUUGACUUGCUCACUUGCCCAGAAGGCCAACCCAGACUUUGACUACUUCACACAGCAGACCAAAGAGACUUUGUGCUUUCCCUAGGAUCAAUACUAAUCACCUGUAAUAGAUCACAAAACUGUAGCUUGCGGCUACGCUCAGCUCGCUGGUUCAAAAAAAAUUAUGCCCGGAUUUGAUCAAACUAAAUCCAAUAUGCCUCUAGGCCAUCUCUUUUAUGUGACAUUAUGAUGAUAUUAUGGUGAUACUAUUGCUGUUUUAAGAAAACUAGCAAAUAGAGGAGUUUUUACCCUACUUAAAAACCUGCUUUGAAGAUUUCUGAUCUGCUCAAAAGUUCAGAAUCUCUCCAGCUUAUACUAUAGCUUAUAGUAUAAACUAUACAGACCAAAUUCACAUACAGUCUAGAAAACAAGACAACUGGUAAUAAGGGUAUGGAAUGAAGAAGCAGAGCUACAUCUCAUGCUAAUCAGUAGAUGAUCUUUUAGCCGGAACUCUAAACAGCUCUCUUCUGUUUGACAGAAUAUGUGAGGUGAUUUCUCCUCAGUGUGUAGAAAAGUCUUGGGAAGAGACACCAAUUUGCAGUGGCCUACCAUUAAAGAAUCCGCUUGCAUGGUUACGGUAAAAAAAACUAAAACAAACCAAUUCCAUCUUGUUCAUUCAUGUGCUAAUUAGCAUCUAACUCAUUAGCACGAGUACCUCCUCCUUAGACCAAGACACUGAUCUGUUAAGGUGAAAGUUUAGAUAUGUCUUUUAACUCCCAUCAUUUUUGAAGUUAAGCAAUUGCCAAAUUUGUUUAGAAGAUACAGUACUAACAGAUAGAUGCAUCUUGUACAGGGUAAAGCUACUACAUGGCAAUGAUUUGUCUGGAAGAACAUCUGGAUUCUGGGACUUGAACAUCCUAAAUUACUGCAAUUUACUGCUCGAAACACUCAUUUGUUCCUAACAAAACUAAUGAUUUUGAAUGUAUGGAAGAACAGGAAGUUUCUGAAGCAAGAACCUGGAGCACUCUGAACAGCCUGGGUGUUGUCUGAGAGAGUGUCGAGCCUUAUUAGCACAGAUUAAGAUUUACGAGAGGUUGUACAACAAGGGUCGAAACCCACUCCAUCUGUCCCAGAGCCACAGCUAACUGAAGUGCCAUGCUAAUGAGCGUUUUGUCCGUUUUGUUGUUAUAAUCAAAUUGAUUAGGGAAAACAGAGGGGCAGAUGGCAGCAGAGAAGGAAAAAAAAUCUCUCUCUCCACCCCUCAGAUGGUCGUGGAACUUUCCGCAGGGUGCAGAUACAGAUGUCUGAUUGGAAUGCUGGUGAGCACUAGCCAACUUUCUAAUCACCUUUCACUGGGGGACUGCUUCCCUGUGCAGAGACACACAUGUGUACAUGCACAGCAACAACUCCGGGGGAGAUCUGAAACCAUCAAGAAUGCAUCUCGAUGCUCAAAAAUGCACCUCUAGCCGGUCAUUGCCUUGGGGCAAAAACACUGCUUAAAUGACCCAGACUGAACACUCGCAGGUUUGCUAAAGAAGGCAGCUUCUGGACCGCACCGCCAAGCAGCAAACUAAAGAAAACACUCUGUCCAUGCCUACGAGGACGUAUGGCUGAGGAUUUUCAGGCAUGCAACUCCACAGAGAGCUGGAAACAGCUGAACAUGGCAGAGAGAGCAAUGCUCAGAUCGGUCCAGAGCCUCCUGGGCUCCAUCAGACUGGCAUCAGGUGGCAAUCUCCACCUCGCGACAGAUGGCAUCAGCGUGCCUCCUGAGCGAUCAAUAACACAAAACAGAGAAGAUGCUGAAGCAGGGCCUUCUGCACUGUAUGCUUUUGAGGCUGACUGCAACCAUUCCAGGAAAAAAUGAAUGCUUAAAUGUUGCAGGUUUUUUUUUUGUCCUUGUUCAUUUUGGUAAAAAGUUCACCAGUGGAGAAUUUCGGACCCAAACAUUAAAUAAAUACCCACAUGUUUUUAUCCUAAUCUCUAUCUACCUUAUCUGUAUUGUCUGUCUGAUUACCACAGAUAAUGAUUUCAACAUGUUUCGAAAUACUCAGAAGAUUCCAAAGCCUGUUUUCUCUAAACCAUCUUUUAAUAAAAGUGUAAGGGCAGUUGUUGAAGUUUUUUGUAGAACACGUCCCUCAAUUUCCACUUUUUUCACUCACUUAUUGAUCUUCAGGAACUGCUUUAUCAUGGUCAGGGUAGGAGUGGAUCUGGAUUCCCAGGAACAAUGGGCAAAAAUUCUUGUCUACGGGAAUCACACAUGCAUUAUAGAUGCAGUGGAUAGAGAUUAAGUUGAAAAACGCUGAGUUAUGUCCUUAAUAAGAUGUAUAGAAGUAUAGUUAAAAGUAAUAUGCAUCUCUCUUUCUUCUUGGCCCUGUUCUCUUCCCACAUAAAGACAAAGAAAACUGUGUGUGUGUGUGUGUGUAUGAGAGAGAGACUUAGAUACAUUCGGUAUAGUCAGGUGGUACAGUGCCGGUGGGGAAGAGGCCGGCCCUGCCAGCUGCCCCGGGGGUUCCGCUCACACACGCGGCUUCCUCUACCGGCCCGCUAAUUAAAACCACCACACACACACACAUGCUGAUCAGAGUGUAACGAGGAUGCAUUCACUGGGGGGUGUGUUCUUCACACGGCGAACUUGGUGUUACACUACCGAGUCAUUCUGGUUCUGUGAUACACUUACGUUCUUUUUCAACCACUCUGCUGUUAAACAUCGUGCAGGAUAGAGGUGAAAAUAUAACAAGAUCUUCAAUGAAUAUUGAGCUCUAUUUGGAGUAAAGUGAAAGAAAAAAAAACGCCUGUAGAAUGAAUGCAAAUUUUUCCCAAGGGGAAAAAAAACUUCAAGACACACAGACAAAGAGACCUUUUUUAUCAUACAAGGAAGCAGUUCAUCAAAUUAAGACAUCAGGCCUUAACUGAAGCAAUUUGCUAAAAGGGAAGGGCUACUAUCAGUAACAAGUUUGCCUGCUCCCAAUAAGCGGACUUGCCUGUUUGACAAAAGACAGCGUCUCAUACAAUUGUUUUAUUCAUGUCCCUGUCUCCGCCGCCAGCGUGUGUGUGCCUGUCAGGAGACGAAAGCGCAAAUGGAAUCUGAAUAAACUCACACCAGGGUGAAAUGUAAGGCACAUGCGGGCAUCAUGAAGUAGCAUCUUCUUCUGUCAGAGGGGAUCCAUGUCCUCCAUCAUCACCUUCUCCACCAGCUGAGAAUGUGACAGAAUGAUUACAACAGGGACUCGUAGUCAGGUUGAGGCCUGUGUGUGCCUCUAAUCACAUCAGAUCAAAUUAAAAGGAAGCCAGAAAAAUCUCCCUAAAACCUUAGAAGGAACCAGUUCUGGUUUAAAUGAAACCUGAUCAGUAAUGGAAAGGAUCUUAUUAUACUACAUGGUUCUUCAAGGGUUCUUUAAGAGUUCAUCAGAAAUUUAAGGUCAUUCUCACAUUUACGCUUCUUUCCAAAUUCAGGGAUAAGAGUUUGGCAUGUAUGGUGAAGCAAGAAAGCCAUUUUCGAGCCUGGAAGUGGAUCCCUGCUCCACUUGUAAAUGGUGGUCUGGGGCUUUCUUCAUCCAAAUCAUGGUGCCUUCCACAUCAGUGCAGAAGCUAUCCCAUAUCAGAGCUGUACACUGAGUCCCGUGACUGGUUCAACCUGUCACUAAGUUUCACGAUGACGGUAACCAUGAGAAAUUUUAGGAAGCUAAGGACACUUAACUAUCCAAAGAACCCCUUCUGAUUUAAUGUUUGGUUCCAGCGAAUCAUCCUCCAGUGUGAGCUAACACAACCAAUAGCUAGUCCAGUCCAUCACUGUCUCCAGUUAAAUCAUUUUCUAAAUGGUUUCUGUGAUCCAUUUUGACCUCUAGUGACCUGUUAUAUCAACCUCAAGAGCCUCAAGAACAUCGACUGCAUAAACUUUCAGAGACUCCAAGUCUUCAUGCUGAGCUGAAAUAAGCCACCAUUCUUCACAGUGAACACUACAGAUGCAGUCACUUCGCUGAUGCAAACACCCCCAAAAGUAAGUGCACCCCAAUAGACUUGAAUUCAUUUUCACUGUUUUUAAGGUAAUUUUCUUCUUUCAGAUAAAUGACAGGAAGAAAAAAAAUAUAUAUAUAAUGAAUUAAUUAAUAUACUGAAACUGAUUCCAUUCCAUGCUUCAUCAUACCAUAAUGUAUUUUUCUUUCAUUUUGGCAUUUUGCCAGGUCUUAGAAUCAGUGCUCUGAAUAUAAAUGCUGUUGGUUAUAAAAUUAACCUUGAUAAAUUUUAAGUAAGUAAGAAGGAAGUUAAACACAAAUACUCAAAUAUUGCAAAUAUUGCAAAUAUUUUCCUUCACAUAAUGACCACACAGUGAGACAGUGAAGAACACACCGAGUUCAGGGUCGACUGCCAGCCAGUCACGGCCACUAACAUUAAAUUUUAACACUGUCCAUUUUUUACCAACUUGCUUGUUGAUGCACACAUAACAAUCAUCAGCAAGACAAACACAAGAGAAAAAGUAUUUUUUUUAAAAAAUAUGAGAAAAAGAAAGUUCACCAGAGGGGACCCAGUGCAGACAGACAGGACAGGAUUAGCAAGAAAGAAUAAUAAUAAUAUUAAAAAAAAUAUUUCUGCUUUGAGGGAAUUCAUAUUCAUGAAGGUUUCACAUCUGCCUGAACACACAGAGUGCACAUUCAUACAGGCGAGACAAGUUUUUCAACCCUUUCCAAACAAAGUUUAAAGGUAAAGUCUAGACUGCUUUUUCACUGUGACUUGCUAGAUAUAAACUUCAGCAUAAAUUGUCGUGGUAUUAUUAUUAUUAUUAUUAUUAUUACUGUACCACACUACAGUAAACUAUUGCUGUGCUGUUCAUUUCGACAUGCUUGUAAUGAUGAGUCCAAUUGAGUCUUCAGAUUAACAUAAACUGUCAGGUUCCUUUAAUAAUUUAUUGACAUGCAUAAUGUAUAUCAUACACCAGACCUUCAGCUGUUUUUUUUUUUUUUUUUUUUUUUGAGUGAAGUUUCAAGAGAAAUAUCUGUGAUUCAUGCAACGGAUCAAUUAAGCUCUCAGUAUACAGAAUGCCUGCAUGGGUAUAAUAAUAAUAAUGACAUGAUAAUUAAUUUUAUUUAUAGAGCACUUUUCAUACACAAGGUGCUGUAGCUCAAAGUGCUGAAUAAUCAAGUAGUAAAAAUAAAAUGUAUAUAUAAGAUAAAGUGAAAAUAUAAAUACACAAAAAUAAACAAAUACAGAAUAAAAUGACAAAAAAAUCAAUAAAAUAAAUAUAAUAAAUGUAUAAGGAAACACGUACAGUGAGAAGAGCAGCGGUCCUAAAAUUGAAACUUGUGGCACUCAUUAAUUAACACAGACGAACAAUUUCCCAAAGCAACAACAACAACAACAACAACAAAAAAAUCUCUCUACUUAUUAAAUAUGACUUAACGCUUUCUAAAAUGGUUCCUGAAAGGCCUACGCAGAGACGAUGGCUAAGGAGUGGGCAGUAAAAAUGCGCGCAAGGUGCCGUGAAAUGCUCACAAACAAAGCUAUUCAUGAGAGCAGUUCAGUUCAGCGAGCACUGAGCAAUUCUUAAUGAGCACACUCGCUGAUAUUAAUCUGCAUGGUCAGGUCAACUGUCCUCACACUCUCUAUAUAAUCUCAAAUAUAAAACUCAGAACAAGGAGUUCAUUGCUAGCCACACGCAGCAACAACAAACAUAAACAAAGCUAAAUAAAAUGCGCCAUGACAUCCCUGAUUGAUUAGUACUAAGCAGGUUACUCAUUCCUGUAUGAACUACUUGUACUCAGUAUCGAUGAAUCUAACACAUGAAAAUUGCUCACAUAGCUGAGAGCUGUGUUCCAGCCUUAACUCUCAGCAAACAGGAGGAACAGAGGGAGGGAAGAUUUUAUUUUCCCGGUAGGUCUAUAGCAAGCCACGAAACCCUACUUACACUCCAUCACAGGCAGAAUGACAGUUGACGUGGUGAAAUUUACGUGGAAGGUCAGCAGAUUUACAGGCGCCACGUUCACCCACACAAUCGCAAAUAAAAAUCAGACUCAAACAUAAGCCGAGCAAUGAGUUAACAAGAGACAGGGAGAAAAUUGGAAAAUGUCAGACAAGGUGGAGCAGAAGAAUGAAUUUGUCCAAGUGUGUGUGUGUGUGUGUGUGUGUGUGUGUGUGUAUGAGAUAACUGGCUGGAAGCAGACAGACAUUUUUCCCCUCAGUGUCCAGUUCUAAUGCAGCAAAAAGACAUGAAGAGACAGAACGAAGAGAAAGAAACGGAGCUGUGGAUUGAAAGCUUGUGACAGGUGAGAAGUCAUGCACGAAAGAGUGACAGAGCAAAAAAGGGUCAAAAUUGAGAAAGUGAGAAAGGCGUGUAUGUAUGUGUGAGUGAGUGAGAGAGAGAGAGAGAGAGAGAGAGUGAUGGAGGCUCGGUUGGUGUCAGGGACUGUGUGUCCUGUGCCAGGCUGGAAUAAAGUGUCCGUGUCGAAGGCCCGAGCUUCCCCAGGGCUGUGCUGAUUAAUUGAGCUGUCCGAGCCCUCUGAUGGCGGCUCCUUUACGUAGAGCUCCUGGGAAACUCACCCCGCUUCCAUCAGAAAGGAAAAAAAAUCGUUUUCCCGUGCUAAAAUUAGAGACUUUCGCUUUCUCACUAUGUUCUUACAUCAGCAUGCGCUUCACCUUGCCGGAGGGGUUUAAUGAUCGUCAUGAGAAAGAGAGACAGACAGAGAGAGAGAGAGAGAGAGAGAAAGACAACAGGACAGACAAACACCGGGCCACUUGGACACGUCCCCCUCCUGCCUCUGUCACUCACAGGCUGUGUGCGCAGCGGCUGAAGAUGAAGCACCGCUGUCUCAGGGUCGCGGGGAAGCCUGGAGCCUAUACCAGGGAACUCGGGACACAAGAUGGGGGACACCCUGCACACACACAUUCACACACUACGGACAAUUUGGAAAAUGCCAAUCAGCAUGUCUUGGGACUGGGGGAGGGAUUCGAACCCCCAACCCUGGAGGAGGCCAAACAUGCUAACCACUAAGCCAACAUCCCCCCCGAGGGUUCAUAUAAUGAGCAGAAAUUCCAAAUAAA